rnacentral:lncRNA from 1 species
UGGUAAUGUGCAUAAUCACGUAAAGGCAGCUAGUUUGUUGUGCUAAGAGUGAGGGAAAGUAUUGGUGGUGGUUAGUAUCUUGGUAUGCUUGUUGUGCUGGGAAGAAGCAAAAAAACCACAUUACAUUUUGUUAACGAGGGUAUCUAGAAGAGGUUGAACUCUUGGCGUGGGAGAUAUCUUUCUAUCGCAAACAAAAAGGUAUUGAUUAAAUUCGUUGCUCAAGUUAUCCCCACUUAUCCUAUGAGUUAUUUAUUUAUUA